GACGAACGCUGGCGGCGUGCCUAAUACAUGCAAGUUGAACGCUGAAGGUUGGUACUUGUACCGGCUGGAUGAGCGGCGAACGGGUGAGUAAUGCGUGGGGAAUCUGCCCUUGAGCGGGGGAUAAGCUUGGGAAACUAAUUCUAAUACUGGAUAAAAAAUUUAAACACAAGGUUUUAGGUUGAAAGAGGCAAUUUGAUUAUGGAUAGGCGCACGCGCGUUGUGUUAGUUGGUUGGGGAGGUAAAGACUCACCAAGGGGAGGAUACAUAGCCUACCUGAGAGGGUGAUCGGCGACAUUAGGACGUGGACACGGCCCAAACUCCUACGGGAGGCAGCAGUAGGGAAUCUUCGGCAAUGGACGAAAGUCUGACCGAGCAACGCCGCGUGAGUGAAGAAGGUUUUCGGAUCGUAAAACUCUGUUGGUAGAGAAGAACGUUGGUGAGAGUGGAAAGCGCAUAAAGUGACGGUAACGAACCAGAAAGGGACGGCUAACUACGU
rnacentral:rRNA from 1 species